UUGUUGGUAAGGUAAAAGCUUACCAAGGCUUCGAUCAGUAGCUGGUCUGAGAGGACGACCAGCCACACUGGGACUGAGACACGGCCCAGACUCCUACGGGAGGCAGCAGUGGGGAAUUUUGGACAAUGGGGGCAACCCUGAUCCAGCCAUGCCGCGUGAGUGAAGAAGGCRUUCGUUGUAAAGCUCUCUCAGCCGGAACGAAACGGUUACGGAUAACACCCGUGACUACUGACGGUACCGGAAGAAGAAGCACCGGCUAACUACGUGCCAGCAGCCGCGGUAAUACGUAGGGUGCGAGCGUUAAUCGGAAUUACUGGGCGUAAAGCGUGCGCAGGUGGUUUUGUAAGUCAGAUGUGAAAGCCCCGGGCUCAACCUGGGAACUGCGUUUGAAACUACAAGACUAGAGUGUGGCAGAGGGGGGUGGAAUUCCGCGUGUAGCAGUGAAAUGCGUAGAGAUGUGGAGGAACACCGAUGGCGAAGGCAGCCCCCUGGGUCAACACUGACGCUCAGGCACGAAAGCAUGGGGAGCAAACAGGAUUAGAUACCCUGGUAGUCCAUGCCCUAAACGAUGUCAACUAGUUGUCGGGCCUUUACGGGCUUGGUAACGUAGCUAACGCGUGAAGUUGACCGCCUGGGGAGUACGAUCGCAAGAUUAAAACUCAAAUGAAUUGACGGGGACCCGCACAAGCGGUGGAUUAUGUGGAUUAAUUCGAUGCAACGCGAAAAACCUUACCUACCCUUGACAUGUAUCGAAGCCCGCAGAAAAGCGGGGGUGCCCGAAAGGGAACGAUAACACAGGUGCUGCAUGGCUGUCGUCAGCUCGUGUCGUGAGAUGUUGGGUUAAGUCCCGCAACGAGCGCAACCCUUGUCAUUAAUUGCCAUCAUUUAGUUGGGCACUUUAAUGAGACUGCCGG
rnacentral:rRNA from 1 species